rnacentral:rRNA from 1 species
AGUUGGUGAGGUAAGGGCUCACCAAGCCGACGAUCAGUAGCCGGCCUGAGAGGGUGAACGGCCACAUUGGGACUGAGACACGGCCCAAACUCCUACGGGAGGCAGCAGUGGGGAAUAUUGCACAAUGGGGGAAACCCUGAUGCAGCGACGCCGCGUGAAGGACGACGUAUUUCGGUAUGUAAACUUCUAUCAGCAGGGAAGAAAAGAUGACGGUACCUGACUAAGAAGCCCCGGCUAACUAC